UACGAUCAUAUCACGUUCAAACACCGGUUCUUGUACGAUCAGCAAUGUUAAGUAAAGUCGAGCCUGGUCAGUAUCUAGAUGGGUGACAACUUGGUAAUACCAGGUGUUGUAAG